UUGGACUCAUAAUAUCAAAUUUAGCCCAUUAACAUCUCAAACCCUACUGCCUAUAUUAUAUUAUAUAUAGUAAUUAUGCACCGCUGAUUAGCAAAAUCGUGCUUAUGUUUUCCCAAUUGUUGUGAUGGGUGUUCUUGAUCGAGUAUUCAAUGAUUUGAUGUUGCUGCUCUUUACAAAUUUUAAUUUGAAGUGAGCUGUUGUUAGUAUUUCUCAAGCUGUUGGAUGGAGUUUAUGUCUAUUGCUUUUGUUUGUGUUGGUUUGGAUCGCUGUUGGAGAGGCUGCUUUGGUGUUAAUAAUUUAUCUUGAUUUAAAUUAAUUAUAUGUACAAUAAUUUAAUAUCGUCAAAUUUUUAAUUAAUAAUUCACUAUCUUAUUUUAA